AAAAGCUCAAAUUUGAAAUCUGGUACUUUCAGUGCCCGAGUUGUAAUUUGUAGAAUUUGUCUUUGAUUAGGUCCUUGUCUAUGUUCCUUGGAACAGGACGUCAUAGAGGGUGAGAAUCCCGUUUGGCGAGGAUACCUUUUCUCUGUAAGACUUUUUCGAAGAGUCGAGUUGUUUGGGAAUGCAGCUCAAAGUGGGUGGUAAAUUCCAUCUAAAGCUAAAUAUUGGCGAGAGACCGAUAGCGAACAAGUACAGUGAUGGAAAGAUGAAAAGAACUUUGAAAAGAGAGUGAAAAAGUACGUGAAAUUGUUGAAAGGGAAGGGCAUUUGAUCAGACAUGGUGUUUUUUGCAUGCACUCGCCUCUCGUGGGCUUGGGCCUCUCAAAAAUUUCACUGGGCCAACAUCAGUUCUGGCAGCAGGAUAAAUCAUUAAGAAUGUAGCUACCUCGGUAGUGUUAUAGCUUAUUGGAAUACUGCUAGCUGGGAUUGAGGACUGCGCUUCGGCAAGGAUGUUGGCAUAAUGGUUAAAUGCCGC
rnacentral:rRNA from 1 species